rnacentral:rRNA from 1 species
AUGAACGCUGGCGGCGUGCCUAAUACAUGCAAGUCGAGCGAACGGACGAGAAGCUUGCUUCUCUGAUGUUAGCGGCGGACGGGUGAGUAACACGUGGAUAACCUACCUAUAAGACUGGGAUAACUUCGGGAAACCGGAGCUAAUACCGGAUAAUAUUUUGAACCGCAUGGUUCAAAAGUGAAAGACGGUCUUGCUGUCACUUAUAGAUGGAUCCGCGCUGCAUUAGCUAGUUGGUAAGGUAACGGCUUACCAAGGCAACGAUGCAUAGCCGACCUGAGAGGGGGAUCGGGCACCAUGGAACUGAGACAAGGUCCAGAACCCUAAGGGAGGCAGGAGUAGGGAAUCUUCCGGAAAGGGGGGAAACCUGAAGGAGCAAAGCCGCGGGAGUGAUGAAAGUCUUCGGAUCGUAAAACUCUGUUAAUAAGGAAGAACAUAUGUGUAAGUAACUGUGCACAUCUUGACGGUACCUAAUCAGAAAGCCACGGCUAACUACGUG